UCCCGUGUGGCUCAGUUGGUAGAGCAUGGUGUUUGCGACGCCAGGUUUGUGGGUUCGUUUCCCAUGGGAG
rnacentral:tRNA from 1 species